rnacentral:rRNA from 1 species
AUUGAACGCUGGCGGCAGGCCUAACACAUGCAAGUCGAGCGGAAGAAGGGAGCUUGCUCCUGGAUUCAGCGGCGGACGGGUGAGGAAUGCCAAGGAAUCUGCCUGGUAGUGGGGGAUAACGUCAGGAAACGGGCGCUAAUACCGAAUACGUCUUGAGGGAGAAAGUGGGGGAUCUUCGGACUUCACGCUAUCAGCAGAGCCUAGGUCGGAUUAGCUAGUUGGUGGGGUAAAGGCCUACCAAGGCGACGAUCCGUAACUGGUCUGAGAGGAUGAUCAGUCACACUGGAACUGAGACACGGUCCAGACUCCUACGGGAGGCAGCAGUGGGGAAUAUUGGACAAUGGGCGAAAGCCUGAUGCAGCCAUGCCGCGUGUGUGAAGAAGGUCUUCGGAUUGUAAAGCACUUUAAGUUGGGAGGAAGGGAAUUAAGUUAAUACCUUGCUGUAUUGACGUUACCAGCAGAAUAAGCACCGGCUAACUUCGUG